GACCGCGUAGCUCAGUUGGAAGAGCAUUGGGCUAGUAUUCCAAAGGUCGUAGGUUCGAAUCCCGCCGUUGCCA